rfam:Alligator sinensis unplaced genomic scaffold scaffold4_1, whole genome shotgun sequence
GGUUCCAUAGCUCAGUGGUUAGAGCCCUAGUCUUAUAAGUCAGGGGUUGUAAGCUCAAACCCUACUAGAGCCU